UACAGAGGUCCCAAGCGUUGUUCGGAUUUACUGGGCGUAAAGGGCUCGUAGGUGGCCAACUAAGUCAGACGUGAAAUCCCUCAGCUUAACUGGGGAACUGCGUCUGAUACUGGAUGGCUUGAGUUUGGGAGAGGGAUGCGGAAUUCCAGGUGUAGCGGUGAAAUGCGUAGAUAUCUGGAGGAACACCGGUGGCGAAGGCGGCAUCCUGGACCAACACUGACACUGAGGAGCGAAAGCCAGGGGAGCAAACGGG
rnacentral:rRNA from 1 species